rnacentral:rRNA from 1 species
UCUACUCGGGGAUAGCCUUUCGAAAGAAAGAUUAAUACCCGAUAGCAUAAUGAUUCCGCAUGGUUUCAUUAUUAAAGGAUUCCGGUAAAGGAUGGGGAUGCGUUCCAUUAGGUUGUUGGUGAGGUAACGGCUCACCAAGCCUUCGAUGGAUAGGGGUUCUGAGAGGAAGGUCCCCCACAUUGGAACUGAGACACGGUCCAA